CCUGACGCAGCGACGCCGCGUGGAGGAUGAAGGUCUUCGGAUUGUAAACUCCUGUUGCUCGGGACGAAAAGCCUCGACCUAACACGUCGAGGUCUGACGGUACCGAGUGAGGAAGCCCCGGCUAACUCUGUGCCAGCAGCCGCGGUAAUACAGAGGGGGCAAGCGUUGUUCGGAAUUACUGGGCGUAAAGGGCGCGUAGGCGGCCCGCUAAGUCGAGCGUGAAAUCCCCGAGCUCAACUCGGGAACUGCGUCCGAUACUGGUGGGCUUGAAUCCGGGAGAGGGAUGCGGAAUUCCAGGUGUAGCGGUGAAAUGCGUAGAUAUCUGGAGGAACACCGGUGGCGAAGGCGGCAUCCUGGACCGGCAUUGACGCUGAGGCGCGAAAGCUAGGGGAGCAAACGGGAUUAGAUACCCCGGUAGUCCUAGCCCUAAACGAUGAAUGCUUGGUGUGGCGGGUAUCGAUCCCUGCCGUGCCGAAGCUAACGCAUUAAGCAUUCCGCCUGGGGAGUACGGUCGCAAGGCUGAAACUCAAAUGAAUUGACGG
rnacentral:rRNA from 1 species